rnacentral:lncRNA from 1 species
UCCUAACCUGCUGUGAGUAUACAGUUGAUUUACUUCCAAUCUCAAGUGCGCAGCAACAAAAUCUUACUGUAAUUCUAAGUGAAAUUGAUCUGGGAUAAAUAUCACUCCACUUUCUGUUUUUCACACUUCUGUACUAGUAACGCUGAUGUUACCACUGUAGGAGCAGUGAUGAUUUAAAUAAUAUUCAUUUUGUGAUGUUCCUGUCCCGUUAGGAUGUUUAUGGCUCUAACUCUUUGAAUUAGAUUUAUAUAGAAAAACAAUAAAGGAUCAGUAAUUUUAAAAAGACGAUUAGAAUAGAAUUUAGUGAACAGAAAAAUGUAAAUCGAAGUCUUCAGUCUCACCCCUCCCAAAAUACCUUUUGCCCUUUCUGUACCUCCCCGUUUUUGACUACGUCACUAAAUCCCGCCCCCUUGCUACAGGUGACGGCCGUCAAUGCAACGGAGAAGGGGGCAGUGCGGCUAUUCUUCAUGCCCCCCAAAGUAGCCCGUCCUCCAGCCCCCGCCGCCGAUCACGCUUCCUGUCUGUGCCGUCGCGCCUCCCAAACCCCUUCCCUCACCCUCCUCUCUCCCUGUUGCUUUCCCCCGCCCCUUCUCUGCGGAAGGCCGGCGAGAAGCGGCCGCCCCGCGCAGUCAGUGUCACUGGAAGGGAAGCCCCGCCUCCCGGCUCCCUGCUGAGAGCUGCUGCUGGCUGGCUGGCGCCGCCGCCACGCAGGCCAGCUGAUCGCGCAGGCCGCGUCGUUCUGCGGUGUCCGCUGCAUCCCCGCCGCCAAGAGCAGCGGGAGGAGCCGAGGCGCCCGGCGCCGUGCAAUAGGCAACAGCGCCCAGGUGCUCUCCUCCCCGUCACCCCUCCCCUCCACUCCACCACCACACAUCGUCGCGCGCAGCUUCUCGAGAGCGAGAGCAGCAGCAGCAGCAGCCGCCGCCGCUGCACGCACGCGCCCGGCUCGUCAUCGCCUUCGUCGUUUCCAAGCCUUUCUGGGACUCGCGCGAGCUUCGUCUCGGUUGGGCCCCUCAGUCGAACCUCCUUCUCCUCCUUCUCCUGGCCCCCUCCUCCCCUCUCAGCAGCGCUNGGUAUCACGGACUGUCUGUCAUCACUCCCGUUUGGGGCGGCUGUACGUGUAAACAUCUCCUUCCAACCCUCCCCUUCGUUCACUUCGA